rnacentral:rRNA from 1 species
UACGGGGGGAGCAAGCGUUGUUCGGAUUUACUGGGCGUAAAGGGCGCGCAGGCGGCUCUGCAAGUCAGAUGUGAAAGCCCCGGGCUUAACCUGGGAAUUGCAUUUGAUACUCUGGAGCUUGAGUGUGGGAGAGGAGAGUGGAAUUCCCAGUGUAGAGGUGAAAUUCGUAGAUAUUGGGAAGAACACCGGUGGCGAAGGCGGCUCUCUGGACCACAACUGACGCUGAGGCGCGAAAGCGUGGGGAGCAAACAGG